AUUGAACUCUGGCGGUAUGCCUUACACAUUCAAGUCGAACGGUAGAGGGGCAACCCUUGAGAGUGGCCAACGGGUGAGUAAUACAUCGGAACGUGCCCAGCCGUUGGGGAUAACGUAGCGAAAGCUACGCUAAUACCGCAUACGACCCGAUGGUGACAGCGGGCGAUCGCAAGACCUCCCGCGAUUGGAGCGGCCCACGGCAGGUUAGGUAGUUGGUGGAGUAAAGGCCUACCAAGCCUGCGAUCUGUAGCUGGUCUGAGAGGACGACCAGCCACACUGGGACUGAGAACCGGCCCAGACUCCUACGGGAGGCAGCAGUGGGGAAUUUUGGACAAUGGGCGAAAGCCUGAUCCAGCCAUACCGCGUGCGGGAAGAAGGCCUUCGGGUUGUAAACCGCUUUUGUCAGGGAAGAAAUCUUCUGGGUUAAUACCUCGGGAGGAUGACGGUACCUGAAGAAUAAGCACCGGCUAACUACGUGCCAGCCGCCGCUGUAACAC
rnacentral:rRNA from 1 species